rnacentral:rRNA from 1 species
UACGGAGGAUGCGAGCGUUAUCCGGAUUCAUUGGGUUUAAAGGGUGCGUAGGCGGAAUAGUAAGUCAGUGGUGAAAGCCUGCGGCUUAACCGUAGAAUUGCCAUUGAUACUGUUAUUCUUGAGUAUAGUUGAAGUGGGCGGAAUGUGUAAUGUAGCGGUGAAAUGCUUAGAUAUUACACAGAACACCAAUUGCGAAGGCAGCUCACUAAGCUAUCACUGACGCUGAGGCACGAAAGCGUGGGGAGCAAACAGG